AUUGAACGCUAGCGGCGUGCCUAACACAUGCAAGUCGAGCGGUAACAGGUGUAGCAAUACAUGCUGACGAGCGGCGGACGGGUGAGUAACGCUUGGGAAUCUGCCUGUUAGUGGGGGACGAACCCGGGGAAACCGUACGGGCGUAAUACCGCAUACGCACUACGGUGGAAAGGCCGGGGACCGGCAAGGCCUGGCGCUAACAGAUGAGCCCAAGUCGGAUUAGCUAGUUGGUAGGGGUAACGGCCACCAAGGCGACGAUCCGUAACUGGUCUGAGAGGACGACCAGUCACACCGGAACUGAGACACGGU
rnacentral:rRNA from 1 species